CCUACGGGGGGCAGCAGUGGGGAAUAUUGCACAAUGGGGGAAACCCUGAUGCAGCGACGCCGCGUGAGUGAAGAAGUAUUUCGGUACGUAAAGCUCUAUCAGCAGGGAAGAAAAUGACGGUACCUGACUAAGAAGCCCCGGCUAACUACGUGCCAGCAGCCGCGGUAAUACGUAGGGGGCAAGCGUUAUCCGGAUUUACUGGGUGUAAAGGGAGCGUAGACGGCAGCGCAAGUCUGGAGUGAAAUCCCAUGGCUUAACCAUGGAACUGCUUUGGAAACUGUGCAGCUAGAGUGCAGGAGAGGUAAGCGGAAUUCCGAGUGUAGCGGUGAAAUGCGUAGAUAUUAGGAGGAACACCAGUGGCGAAGGCGGCUUACUGGACUGUAACUGACGUUGAGGCUCGAAAGCGUGGGGAGCAAACAGGAUUAGAUACCCCGGUAGUC
rnacentral:rRNA from 1 species